GAUGAACGCUGGCGGUAUGCCUUACACAUGCAAGUCGAACGGGAAUUAACUUCGGUUAAUUCUAGUGGCGGACGGGUGAGUAGCACGUGAGAAUUCGCCUUUAGGAGGGGGAUAACGAAUGGAGACAUUCGCUAAAACCCCAUAUGCCCCUGGGUGAAAAAGAGGAGAUAAGUUAAACUAAUUCACCUCUGCCUGAAGAGAAGCUCGCGGCUGAUUAGCUAGUUGGUAGGGUAAUGGCCUACCAAGGCGACGAUCAGUAGCUGGUCUGAGAGGACGAUCAGCCACACUGGAACUGAGACACGGUCCAGACUCCUACGGGAGGCAGCAGUGAGGAAUUUUCUGCAAUGGGCGAAAGCCUGACAGAGCAAUACCGCGUGAGGGAUGAAGACUUACUGAGUUGUAAACCUCGGUGCCUUAAGGAAGAAGAUAUGACGGUACUUAAGGUGGAAAGCAUCGGCUAACUCCGUGCCAGCCGCCGCGGUAAAAC
rnacentral:rRNA from 1 species